AUUGAACGCUGGCGGCAGGCCUAACACAUGCAAGUCGAGCGGAGCGGCGGAGGGGUGAGGAAUGCCAAGGUAUCUGCCUGGUAGCGGGGGAUAAGGUUAGGAACCGGGAGCUAAUACCGCAUACUAUCAGAUGAGCCUAGGUCGGAUUAGCUAGUUGGUGGGGUAAAGGCCUACCAAGGCGACGACCCGUAGCUGGUCUGGGAGGAUGAUCAGUCACACUGGAACUGAGACACGGCCCAGACUCCUACGGGAGGCAGCAGUGGGGAAUAUUGGACAAUGGGCGAAAGCCUGAUCCAGCCAUGCCGCGUGUGUGAAGAAGGUCUUCGGAUUGUAAAGCACUUUAAGUUGGGAGGCGUUACCAACAGAAUAAGCACCGGCUAACUUCGUGCCAGCAGCCGCGGUAAUUC
rnacentral:rRNA from 1 species